GCCAACAAAUCGCACCGGCGCGGCCGCGGCCGUACACGCCGCGCGACCGAUGCACGAGACCGAUUUCCGCCGUUUUAUUAUGUGUACCGCGCGCCAACGAUAUUAUAAUAUCGUGUGCUGGGUACCGUACGCCGGCGUCUUUCUUCUCACUCGCUCGCUCUCUCUCUCUCUCUCUCUCUCUCUCUCUCUCACUCCGUCCGACCCGCUGUACCACUGUCCGUCUCUAUCUGUCCGCGCGGUUUGUCUUCGCGUACGCCGCCGCCGCACUACUAUACGCGUGUACAUUUAUACCGUAUACGUAUAGUAAUAAUAAUAAUAAUAAUAAUAAUAAUAUAUACCGCGGCAGUGUUCACUAUCCGAUAUCGCCGAAGGUGUUGCGCACGCCGUACACGCGGGCAGAGCGUACCGAUAAAAAAAAAAAAAAUAAAAAAUAUCGCAUAGGUAGGUAUACGUAUUUGUGUGUACGGCGCGGACGGGAAAAAAAAAAAACGAGACGAUAAAAAUAAAAAAAAAAAAUCCAAAACGCUCACGACCUUAUAACUCACGGAGAUAACGACGCGCGGCAACGAACGGCCGACGCUAUUAGAAAAGGGAAAAAAUUAAAAAAAUAAAAAAAAAAAACCCGCGCGUAUAAUACCGGCUUUCACACCUCCGUGGGCCACGCCCGCGCGACCGGCGAACGCAACAAAUUACCCGGCCGCGGCGCACACACAAUAAUAUCG